rnacentral:misc_RNA from 1 species
AACAUCGCGCACCUGCGGGAACCUGCGGAAGGAUCAUUAUCGAGUGUAAUCUACCCCUUUAAAAAAGGGUAGUACCUCCCGUCCUUUGCAGGCCUCUUUUUUUAUUAGGGGGGGCUUUUUAAGACUUUCUGCUUCGGCGGGGUUACUCCCGCCGGAACACCCUCAAAAAAUUCUCGAAAAAAAUCGUUCAGUCCGAGAACUUUUUAAAAAUAAAAUAAAACUUUUAACAAUGGAUCUCAG